GACAGAGGGUGCAAACGUGUUCGGAAUUACUGGGCGUAAAGCGAGUGUAGGCGGUCUCCUAAGGUCGGGUGUGAAAGCCCCGGGCUCAACCUGGGAAUGGCAAUGGAUACUGGCAAGCUAGAGUGCGGUAGAGGGUGAGUGGAAGUUCCCGGUGUAGCGGUGAAAUGCGUAGAGAGUCGGGAGGAACACCAGUGGCGAAGGCGGCUACCUGGACCAGCACUGAC
rnacentral:rRNA from 1 species